rnacentral:rRNA from 1 species
GACGAACGCUGGCGGCGUGCUUAACACAUGCAAGUCGAACGAAGUGGCGAACGGGUGAGUAAUACGUGAGUAACCUGCCCUCCUUCCUGGGAUAAGCCUUGGAAACGGGGUCUAAUACCGAAUAAAGGGGGUCGGGCUCGCGGCCUAUCAGGUUGUUGGUGGGGUGAUGGCGUACCAAGGCGGUGACGGGUAGCCGGACUGAGUGGGUGAACGGCGACCGUGGGACUGAGUUACACCCCAAAAGCCUACGGUAGGCGGCAGUGGGGGAUAUGGCACGAUAGGCGAAAGCCAGAUGCCGGGAGGCAGCGUAGGGGGUGAAGGCUUUUGAGUUGUAAACCUCUUUCGCUAUCGAAACGGUAGGUGGAGAAGAAGCGCCGGCUAACUACGUGCCAGCAGCCGCGGUAAUAC